rnacentral:rRNA from 1 species
CCUGACGCAGCAACGCCGCGUGAGUGAUGAAGGCUCUUGGGUCGUAAAACUCUGUCAGUGGGGAAGAAGUUAUUUAUAGUUAAUAGCUAUAGGUAUCGACGGUACCCACAAAGGAAGCACCGGCUAACUCCGUGCCAGCAGCCGCGGUAAUACGGGGGGUGCAAGCGUUAUUCGGAAUUAUUGGGCGUAAAGCGAGUGCAGGCUGUUUGUUAAGUCAGAUGUGAAAGCCCGGGGCUCAACCCCGGAAGUGCAUUUGAAACUGUCAGACUUGAGUAUGGGAGAGGAAAGUGGAAUUCCUGGUGUAGAGGUGAAAUUCGUAGAUAUCAGGAGGAACACCAGUGGCGAAGGCGACUUUCUGGACCAAUACUGACGCUCAGACUCGAAGGCGUGGGUAGCGAACAGGAUUAGAUACCCUGGUAGUCCACGCAGUAAACGUUGUACACUAAGUGUCACGGGUAUUGACCCCUGUGGUGCUGCAGCUAACGCAUUAAGUGUACCGCCUGGGGAGUACGAUCGCAAGAUUAAAACUCAAAGGAAUUGACGGGGGCCCGCACAAGCGGUGGAGCAUGUGGUUUAAUUCGACGCAACGCGAAGAACCUUACCUGGAUUUGACAUCCUGGGAAUCUUUUCGAAAGAUUUGAGUGCCCUUCGGGGAACCCAGUGACAGGUGCUGCAUGGCUGUCGUCAGCUCGUGUCGUGAGAUGUUCGGUUAAGUCCCGCAACGAGCGCAACCCUCACCCUCUGUUGCUACCGGGUAAUGCCGGGCACUCUGAGGGAACUGCCGCGGAUAACGUGGAGGAAGGUGGGGAUGACGUCAAGUCCUCAUGGCCUUUAUGUCCAGGGCUACACACGUGCUACAAUGGCCGGUACAAAGAGUUGCGAUACCGCGAGGUGGAGCUAAUCUCAAAAAACCGGUCUCAGUUCGGAUUGGAGUCUGCAACUCGACUCCAUGAAGUCGGAAUCGCUAGUAAUCGUGGAUCAGCAUGCCACGGUGAAUACGUUCCCGGGCCUUGUACACACCGCCCGUCACACCACGAAAGUCGGUUGUACCUUAAGUAGCUGAGCUAACCUUCGGGAGGCAGGUUACCAAGGUAUGAUUGGUGAUUGGGGGAAGUCGUAACAAGGUAACCA